UUGAACUUUUCACAGGUGAUGUUUUCAGAAAUUGAUGUCAAGAACAAAAUAGCUGUUGGCAGUUACAACUGUUUGGAUGUCAUUUUAUACAACAGUUGCCUAUGAGGUCUGCGUGGAUUAAAGUUUUCACAUAAAUUGGGGAAAUCUGGCUGCCUGCUCUCCUUCUGACCUCCUCUUGCUGGCAUUUUUUUUUUUUUAACAUAAUUGCAUAGUACGAUUGGUGUCCAGGUCUCCCAGGCUCUUUUUUGACUAAAGAAAUUAUAAAUAUCAAGGAAGAAAAGCUUGAAAUGGAAGUGCCAUAAAAAGUGUGAGAGCUGGUCUCAUUUAUUAGCUGGUGUUGCCAUAACAACACCUGCUGAGCAUGGGAGAUCCUAAUCAGUUGUGAAAUGGGACUAACCUCAUCUCUAGAGAUUGUUCAAACAUAUUAGGCUCAACUGUAUGUGGGGGUGAGGUGUUGUGAAGAAGUUUUUCUAGAGAUUUGCUACUGUCUCAUAGCAAGUAUGCUGUAUGCCCCUCCCUCGAACUGGCAUGUUGAAAUCCUAGCCCCCACCCCCGUAUUGUGACUUUAGGAAGAGGAGCCUUUGGGGGUAAUUAGAUCAUGUGGGUGGAACCCCAAUGGAUGGGAUUAGUGCCCUUAUAAGAAGAGAUAUGAGAGAGGUGGCCUCCUCUCCCUUCUCUCCACCAUGUAAGAAUACAAUGAGAAGAUGGCCAUCUGCAAGCCAGAAAGAAUAUCUUCACCAGAUACCAGAUCUGCCAGUCUGCUCCUGGAUCUUAGACUUUCUCAUCUCCAGAACCGUGAAAAAUAGUUGCUUAAGCCACCCCAUCUGUGGUAAUUUGUUAUAACAGCCUGAGCUAACGAAGGCAAUUGGAAGGCAUGUGCUCAUUUUGGUGAAGGGAAUAAUGAGCAAAUCCCAGCAUUGAAGUUUAAUGGAGAGACCUCAUAUGACAGGUAAGCUCUUUGGUGGUCCCCAGGGCUCCCAUCUCCUGUGGUCAUGCCUUACGUAUUUUCCUCUUGUUGAGUGUGUGGUCCUGUGACCUUCUUCUAAGUAGAAGCAUGUAACAGAGGUGGUGCACAUGAUUACAUGCAUGUGAUUACAAUACAUACAGUUGUAAUGUUUGUCCUGCAAGGAAACCUUCCCUCCCUUGCUGGUUUUGAAAAAGUAUGUUUGCAUGUUGUGAGCUACCAUAUGGAAAUGGCCAUCUGGCCUGGAGCUGAGGACUAACUCAACCAAAAGCCAGUAAGAAACCGAAGCCCUCCAUACAGCAGCUUGCAAGGAAUUGAAUUCUGCCCACCACUAAGUGAAUUAGCAGAUUCUUCCUCAGAGGAGGCUUAUAUGAAAUCACAGUCAUGGUUGAAGCCUUAGGAGACUCUAAGCUAAGAACUCAGGUAAAUCAUUUCUGAGCACCAAACCCCUAACAGAUAAGGUGUGCUGUUUAAACUACUAAAUAAGCUUUGGUAAUUUUGUGAUACAGCACUAUAUAACUAAUAUACCUCAGCAUAUCAUUAAUUUGUGUAGAAAGUAGAUUCCUCAACAGAGAUCAUUGGCAAGGAUGCCAUUCUCUGAAGUGGAAUAACUGAAUCCCAAGCUGAAUAAUCAAGCAUGACGGGGAUUGAGAGUUAAAGAUAUCUGGGGAGUCAAUGUCCUCUUUUCAAAAGUGGGAGAUUUGAGUAAUAGUAAUAAACCAAAGGAUUUGCCAUACUUAAAAAAAAUAUCCUAUUAGGUGAAUUCCUUCUAACAAAAUGUUCAUAAUCUAGCUUCUGCUUAUCUCGUGGCCCAAUUAGUGGACACUUUUACUUUUCUAUUCCUGCCACAUUACACCAAACUCUGUCUUUGACCACCACUAAACCACUCAAGGGGUUCUGGCCAUAGAAUUGUCUGAGAACUAGCCUUCCUCAUCAAGCUCAAUUGCACCUGUUCUUCAGCUUCUUUAUUUUCUCUUUGAUAUUUCUGUUCUUCCUUUCUCUUAUCCAUUCUUCAUUUGUCAGCCUACACAUUACUUACUCUCAGGAGCUUUCUAUAACCACUUAAAUCUAGCUUAUGACUUUCUCCACUUCAAUAAGCAUUUAACAGGCCAGAAUAUGCUUGUCUCUGUAUUGAAAUGUCCUCAUCAUUACCCUGUCAGCUAUAGAGUACAAGCUGAAUAUGGGAAGUACUGUCUUAGUCACAGGUUUAUCUCCUAGUUUUUAGCCUCUAGCUUGGUAUGCUCAAAUGACUUUAAGUAAUUGACCAAAUGUCAUAGUGAAAAAGAAGAAGUGGGGGAGCCAGCUAAAUCUAUAUUCAAAUUUCAGUUCACCAUGUGACUUUUGGCAAAUUACUGAAUCUGUAUUAGCUUUGAUUUAUUCAUCUGGCAAAAUGAGGAUAAAUAACUGCCAUUCCUUCAGUAAGUCAUUCAAAUAUUAUUCAGUGGUUUUUUUUUUUUUUUCCGACAAAUACUUUCCUAACUUUUAUUUUGUAUAAGGUCUUGCAUUAGGAUUGGGGAUAUAGGAGUACACAAAAAAAGUCAAGAUCCCUGCCUUCAUAAGCAUAAACUAUUUAGUAAACAAUGUAGAUGAAAUGUACAGUAUAUUAGGUAAAUGAUAAGUGAUAAGGAGAAAAAUGAACUGCAAAAGAGGAAUAGGAAGAAUUAGGAAGUUGCAAUUUUAGGUAAGAUAGCAAGGGAAGGCUUUGCUGGAAGGUGAUGUUUCUGUAACAACGUGAAGAAGGUGCCACAGCAGGAUAUGCCAACAACUAGGGGAAGACUAUUCUGACGUGAUUUGGCAUGGUUGUUGAGGUCAAUUUGCUGAAAUCCUCUACUGCACGGUUCCUGGUCCAUGGAAAUCCUCAGGAAAUGUUUAUAAGUGCCACACACACAUUUCCCUUGACAUUAGCAUUUGUUCCUUUCAAACUGCAGUUGACUCUUGAAUAACAUAUGUUUGAACUGCAUCAUCCCCUUGUACUUGGAUUUUUUUCAGUAGAAAAUGUUACAGCACUAUGUGGUCUGCGGUUAGUUGAAUCUGUGGAUUGGGAGGAACCACAGAUUUGGGUGCCAGCUAUAAAUCGUACUGAUUUCUGCUUGCUUAGAGGGUCAUGACCUCCAACACCUGCUUUGUUCAAAGAUUAACUGUAUAUACUCAUUAACUGCAAGGGUCACGGUUUAUCCUUGAAAAACACCUAAAUCUUAGAGCCCACCAUUAUACUUAAUCUAUCACAUGGGCAAUGAAAAAAUCCCUUUUGGUUUCUCUAAAGAAAAAGUGAGAAGUUAACUCUAUAGGUGGCACGUGGGCACUACUUCUUUUACAGUUUUCUGGGUAGAAUGACAGAUCUUUGAGUGUCCUUUGGUAUGCCCUUUGGAAACUUGAAAGAUGCCAAAACCCUUUAUUGUGAGGCAGUCCCUGUGUGGCACUCUGAAAAACAAUUCACAGAAAUAUAUCUAUAUAAAUCCUUUAUCAUUUAAUUUUGAGUCUUCAUAGCCUCCAACUUUGGAGGAUUCAACCUCAGCCCUUCUCGGAGCUUCAACACCUAGAAGUAAAUACAUAGUUUUGAAUCCUUGGAGAGAACCUGGUAUGGCCUCAGUUUACAUGGGUCCUCAGGUCCACUGGAUCUACCGCUUCAUGGGGCACAGUGAGGCUGGAAAUCCCAGUGCCCAGGACUUGUCCUCCAGACAUUUGUCACACAGCUCUCCAGGCCAAAGUUGAACCCCUUCUUGAGGGUACUUUCCUGGAACAACAUUUAUUUUCUACUCUUUGAUCCUCUGCAUGUCUGUGCUUAUCCUUAAACAUCUCAGUGCAUAGAGGCAUGUUCCUCAUAAUGGGCUUGGCUUUGAGGAACAACAGCCAGGGAGAAAUAUAUAUCCACUGUCACUUUUCAUAGCACUCCCAUGAGGCAAGUUAGCAAGUAUUUAGCAAACUAUUUGGAGAAGGAAGUAAAAUGAUAAAAUAAAAGGAGAAAUAUGUAAACUGAUGUGGCAGAGUUUACCAAACCAAAUUAGAAUGGUCAUAUUUUCAAGAGUAUUUAUAUGUAGUGGAAAUCAGUACAAUUAAAAUUCAUGUGUAAUGUAAGUUGCAUCAGCACACGCCUCUUCAUCCCAGCAUGAUCGCACAGACAUGUACUUCAUAACUAUUCUUAGAAAUGCCUGCAGAAAAUUCCAUGCACUUUGAAUAUUAUAUUGAAUAUCUAAUAAUAAACACUCUUUGUGCAUCAUUAGCCUCCGUUCCUUUUGGGUCAAUAAAUCACGAUUCAAGAAAAUAAGGAAGUGAUUGUGACCUCUUCCUCUUAUAGUAGUGUUUGGGGUUUCCUUUAGGAAGUCUGUCAGAACAUGGCUCAAAAUCAGUGACCCUACAUCAAAAAAUAAUAAAUGACUCUGAGACUGUAGUUAGUACACACUUUUGAAGUUGGUGGCAGUGAUAUUUACCUCCAUCGAUUGCCAGGACUUCAGACAACACAGCAAAGGCACUUCCCAAAUGUGCUUGGUCCAAUGUGCUUAAAACCACAACAUCUUGAGUAAAUU
rnacentral:lncRNA from 1 species